GAUGAACGCUGGCGGCGUGCCUAAUACAUGCAAGUCGAGCGAACGGACGAGAGGCUUGCUUCUCUGAUGUUAGCGGCGGACGGGUGAGUAACACGUGGAUAACCUACCUAUAAGACUGGGAUAACUUCGGGAAACCGGAGCUAAUACCUGAUGAUAUUUUGAACCGCAUGGUUCAAAAGUGAAAGACGGUCUUGCUGUCACUUAUAGAUGGAUCCGCGCGGCAUUAGCUAGUUGGUAAGGUAACGGCUUACCAAGGCAACGAUGCAUAGCCGACCUGAGAGGGUGCUAGGCCACACGGGAACUGAGACACGGUCCAGACUCCUACGGGAGGCAGCAGUAGGGAAUCUUCCGCAAUGGGCGAAAGCCUGACGGAGCAACGCCGCGUGAGUGAUGAAGGUCUUCGGAUCGUAAAACUCUGUUAUUAGGGAAGAACAUAUGUGUAAGUAACUGUGCACAUCUUGACGGUACCUAAUCAGAAAGCCACGGCUAACUACGUG
rnacentral:rRNA from 1 species